CUAGAGCUUGGAGGUAUGUUGAGAAAUUUGGAAGACCUGAGUACUGAACAGGCACUUCAACCUCUGCUGGACAGAAAAAAAAAGGAACUAGCAUCCUGGGGGAGCACACUGUCACCAGCAUACACGGAGGAAGAGAGUCAGGAAUCAAGUGACACUGGACAUUUUUGAUAAAGCUGAUGGAGCAGCUUUCUUAUCAAAGGGAGAAGAAAAGCAGAGAGCCUGACCAGCCUGAGACAAGUUUGGUAGCCCAGUUCCUGGAGCAAGACAGCAUGCAGCAGCAGGAAUUGUUUCAGAGGUUGUUCAAUCUCAAGGCAACCAGGCUGCAGGCUCUAUCUUGAGCUGCAGCACCAGCUCUAUGCUCCGAGUCCAUUCUCCACUACCAUGUCCUAUAGCCUAUGCAGCCUUUUGGCAGUUCUGGAAUUGGCUGGUCCAUAGCCAGGC